CACUGUAUUGCAAUAGAAGUGUUGCCCAUACAUCUAUUACUCAUGUAAGUGAGCAUGACGACACUGUAUUGCAAUAGAAGUGUUGCCCAUACAUCUAUUACUCAUGUAACUGAGCAUGACACUGUAUUGCAUAGAAGUGUUGCCCAUACAUCUAUUACUCAUGUAAGUGAGCAUGACGACACUGUAUUGCAAUAGAAGUGUUGCCCAUACAUCUAUUACUCAUGUAAGUGACGACACUGUAUUGCAAUAGAAGUGUUGCCCAUACAUCUAUUACUCAUGUAAGUGAGCAUGACGACACUGUAUUGCAAUAGAAGUGUUGCCCAUACAUCUAUUACUCAUGUAAGUGAGCAUGACGACACUGUAUUGC